CACCGAAUAGGGUGUUUUGUGUUAGUUUGGGUUAUCCUCGCGAUUCUCCCAAACUUUCUCUCUCUCUAGCUUUCUCUCUCAUCACAACGCUGUAUGCGAUUGAUUGAUUGAUUCUUCACUCUCUCGCUUCGCGGUCUCUAAUUCGCUUGGUGCAGGUCGGGAACCGCUGCUGCUUCUGCCGUUUUCGCGCGUAAUCACUCACCGGAGGAGCGGUUACCGCCGCCGGUUGGAUCGGAUCCCGCCUUGCAUCAACUGAAUCGGAACCCGCCUUGAAGCUUUGCCUCGUUUUCCGCUCAGAUCUCAUCUCCGACUGUUUGAAAAGGAAACCUAAGCUGAGACUUAUGGACUAUUUAGCACUAGCUGAGUCGAACUCGAAGCAAUUGAUAUUGGUUCCAUUGGUUUAUUUGAAAGUUUGAUGCAUAAGAAGAAGAAUGUAUAGUUGCUAGCUUGAUUUCGUUAUUUGUUUCAUGUUGUCAUAUGUCCAGUUGUCUAACAUUUGUGAAGUUAAGAUCUGAUCUUCAGUUCCUAAUAUGAGGUCAAAUAAGGACUUUGAAGGAUUCCAAUCACUUAUCACUGAUCUGAAAGUUUUGAGAUCCAUUUUGUCUAUGUUUCUGGCCAUUUAUGUUGCAUUGAUUGUCUUUUCCUUUAUAGGCAUCUUCUAUAAACAGUCUGCAAAAGUAUUUACCCUGUGUUUAGUUAGUAAUUAUGGGUGCUAAGGGGACAUAUGUCCUGCUAUAUGAUGGGUGUCUUAUUCACAUUGUAGGCUUAGACUUAAUGUAGAACAUUGAUGUUGUUAUUUGGUAGUAUGAGAAUGCUAUUUACCUUGUUAAAAAACACAUAAUUCCUUCCCCCUUAGGCCUUAACACUUGUAUCUCAAAAUAAGUGAUUUUAUCUCUAGGAUUCAAUAAGAUGAGCUACUAAUAUAUUUUCAUACAACUGAUACAAGAAUAGUGCCUUUCUUCUAUUUAUUAGAUGGGCAUACACAAAUUUGAAAUAGCUUAACAUUUAACAGCAUGCCAAUAUGAAAUAAGUGUUCAUUAUAGUUUGUUUUUGCUUAUGAAAGUAAAUAAUAAACUGUUUAUUUGGGUACAAUGAGCUGUCCUUCUUAGGAAAAUCCCAAUUGCAUGAUUGGCUUUAUAUUUGCAAUUUAUUGGCAGUAACAGAGUAAUCAAGUUUAUGAUUUAGGGUUACGUAGAAAAGAAAUAUUUUAAGUUUAUUUCUUUAUCUUCUAUAAGCCCAUGGAUUACCUGCUAAAUUUUUUAUCAUCAUUUGUCUUUAUUUUUAUUUGUGAUAGAAAAAUUUACUUAUGUGGAAACAAAUUGAAUUCAGACAUGCAGAUUUUUAUGACUGACAAAGUUACUUAUGUGGAAACGGUUUUGAAUUCAGACUUGCAGGUUUCCAGAUUAAGAAUUUUAUGCCAGAACCUAUCGUUAUUGUGUCAUCAAUGAUCAAUUGACUUGACAAGCAUGUCGUUUUUAUUAUGAUGAAAUUUGUAACCUCAUCUUGGCCAACAUGUAUUUUAUUUUAUUCUAUGACGAAAUUAGCAACCUCAUCUGAUGGAACCAUUUUGUAAAAUACAUUUAACCUUAGAAGGCUGGGAAGGAAGAGAAUCAUAAUGUCUGUGUCAAACCUUUUCAUCGCAGUGGCCAGGGUAUAUAAUUAUAAUCUAUUGCUGUGUGCUUAUAACUAACCUUUUGCAGGUGUAGUGGCAACCUUGUAAUUAAUUUGCUAGAGAAAUUGUACGCUAUGGUUGGUUAGAAAUCUAUAACUUGGAACUCUUCUUUUGCUUCUUGAUAUGGGAACAGUCCACAAAAAUAGCAAAAGUUCAGAAGAGCAGCAGGUAUGUUGUUAUAUGCAAGGUUCAGGUGUUACGUGGAUUUCAACAUAUGUUGAAGUUGGAUACGAUUGCAUAUUCUGGAAUACUGUGUAAAUUUAGAUUAAGCAAAGGUUUCUUACUUUCUUUUUGUUUUUGACAUAACAAAUGGUUUGUGUUGGGCUUUUGGGCCUAUAGCAUGUUGCUGUUUUUAUAAUAAUAAUUAGCGUGCAAGUUUAGAUUAGCAAGGAUUCAAUUGACCAAAAAAAAAAGAUUAGCAAGGAUUCCUUGACCAAAUAAGAUUUGAUUUAUCGAUUUACUGUUUGGUAACAGUAGAUAUGAUCUGAAGAGUUGGAAUUUGUUUCCUUUUAUCUGAAAGAUGCUUCCAAGAGUCAAAUUCUUCAUGUAAGUUAUUUACUGUAUAUAUGUUGGUUCCUUGUUUUUGACUUUUUUGCUUGCCACCUCUCUUUUGGAUAUGCGUGAGACAUGUGGGGGGUUGGAAGAAUUUAUAUAAUCAGUUAAGUACCCAUGCUUCAUCCCAUAAAAGACUCGUGCUUAUAAAGAUCAAAGACAUAUAGGUAUGGAAGCAUGUUUUUGGAUCCUGUUUGAAUCGUUUAGGAUUUAUUUAAUUUAAAUUAAAACAAUCUCGUAUCAAUUGAUCUACAUGGUUGGUGGUGUACAAAAGCGUGUCGAGGAAACUUACUUGAGGUAGUAUUUUAUUACUAUUUAAGAUGAUCCUGACUUUAAUAGUCAAAUAAAACGACAAAACGAAAAAGCAGUAUGUGUCCGUGACAUCUUUCUUACUAGCAUUUGGUCAAGGUUUUCGGUGGUUCACUUCACACAUGAUAAAAGUGAAACAAGGUGUUUUUUAUAGAAAUUCUUGUGAAAGAAGAACAUGACCUUUUAAUAGGCCUAAUCUUUUAAAAAUAUCUCUCUUGCUAACACCAUUGGUGUCACCUAACAUUCAUCAUCUCUUUUUCGACCCCCAACUACCAACCUUCAUUGCAUUAGACUCCUAAAAUAACGCCUAACUAAAACUUUUCUCCCUUUGCGAUAAAUAAUUUACGUUGAAAUUGAAUCAAUUAUUGCUUUAAAGCAUUAUCUUUUCGGUGACCCUUAAUGUGGACCACUUUUAAAGUGGUCUAAUUUUGACCGUUUUUUUUAACCUACUAUAACAGGUGAACACAUCUUUUUUUAAAAAAAUUUAAUAUAUGACAAAUUUUUAAUGAUAUUUUUUCUUAAAAAAAAUAAUGUGUUGACCUGCUAUACCCGGUCAAAGUAGGUGGUGUAAAAUUACACCACCUAAAAAUGGUGCAUAUUAGGUUCACCCUAUCUUUUCAUGCCUAGCUUGUCAGAUUUUUCAUUACAAAUUGAAUAUUAAUAUGUCAUUCUGACAGUAUCUCAUUAUUCCUCAGCAAUGUGCAAUUUCUUACUAGAUGCCUGGGAAAUUGCAUAACACAACUUUUUGACAUUGAGGGCUGUCAUACUUAUUUUCUACGCGUUUUUUUUCUAAUUUCCGGGGAUGUAAGGUCGUUGUUAAUUAGUCAUGAAUGAUAAAGCACGGAAGUGUAUAUGAUAUUUUACCCUUCUUUUUCUUCAUACUAUUUUCAUUUAUUUUUUCUUUUUAUCUUUUUUUUUCCUGUCACAUUACGUAUUCUGUUGCAGUAGGGGGAGAGCUUCCUGCCGUUUGAACUACAGUUCACAUUUUUAUAGAUGGUAGCUGGAACCCGACAAAGGGAAAGAUGGACUGUGCGGCGGUUAUUCGGGACAGUGGUGACCGUUGGCUAUUAGGCUUGUCAAUGAGUCACAGCCAUGGAAGUGCCUUCCUCGCUGAACUCUUGGUUGUAGAACUGGGCCUCAACCAUGCAAUUGAGCUUGGACACACAGACGUAGUUUGUUUCACCGAUUGCUUACAAGUGGUAUCUGACCUUCAACCUUCCUUUGAUACAGCUGACUACUGGGGUCGUUAAGCCAUUGAUUGUGUGCGAUGCGCCAUGGGAGCUAUACAACACUGCUUGGUUAGGAGCAUUGAGCGGGAGAGAAAUAACACGGCGGACCAACUAGCACGGGAAGCGGCUAGUGAGGGCUCGCAACGACGAGUUUGGAGCAACCCUCCAUCAAUUGUCUAUGCUUCGCUUUAUUUAGAUGCGUCUAAUUAGUUUUGUUCUGCCUUUAAUUUUCCUCCUGUAAACCAAAAAAAAAAAAUCAUUCAUUUAUUGUUGUAUUGAAGGAGUCUCACGCUUGUAGUUAGUGGUGAUAGCUAAAAGAUUAGGCGGCUCAGCCCACAUGGUUUCAAUGAAAAUAAAGAUCAUAAGUAACAUAUCAUUUAUAAAUUAGAUUUCAUAUCAUUUUGUUAGUAGUUUUUA